UACGUAGGGUGCGAGCGUUAAUCGGAUUCACUGGGCGUAAAGGGUGCGUAGGUGGUGAGGUAAGUCGGAUGUGAAAUCUCCAAGCUCAACUUGGAAACUGCAUUGGAAACUACCUUGCUUGAGGGUUUGAGGGGGGAUUGGAAUACUUGGUGUAGCAGUGAAAUGCGUAGAUAUCAAGUGGAACACCAGUGGCGAAGGCGAAUCCCUGGAAAAUACCUGACACUGAGGCACGAAAGCUAGGGGAGCAAACAGG
rnacentral:rRNA from 1 species